CAAACUGGAGAUGGCGACCGGCGCACGGGUGAGUAACACGUAUCCAACCUGCCGAUAACUCGGGGAUAGCCUUUCGAAAGAAAGAUUAAUACCCGAUGGCAUAAUAGAACCGCAUGGUUUGAUUAUUAAAGAAUUUCGGUUAUCGAUGGGGAUGCGUUCCAUUAGGCAGUUGGUGGGGUAACGGCCCACCAAACCUUCGAUGGAUAGGGGUUCUGAGAGGAAGGUCCCCCACAUUGGAACUGAGACACGGUCCAAACUCCUACGGGAGGCAGCAUG
rnacentral:rRNA from 1 species